CUUCUUUUUAUGGUUAUAAACCUUGUGUUUAAAUUUCAUAGAUUUCUAUUUACUUAUACUAAAGUUAUGGUGCGAAAACCAAGAAUAAUGCUUACUAGUAUUUUGGCCCCUAAUUCCUAAACUGUUGGGACCUCAACUCCCAAAAUCAAUCUCAACCUUCCUUUUGUGGUCAUAAACCUUGUGUUUAAAUUUCAUUGAUUUCUAUUCACUUAUACUAAAGUUAUUGUGCGAAAACCAAGAAUAAUGCUUAUUUGGGUCCUUUUUUGGCCCCUAAUUCCUAAACUGUUGGAACCAAAACUCCCAAAAUCAAUCCCAACCUUCCUUUUGUGGUCAUAAACCUUGUGUCAAAAUUUCAUAGAUUUCUAUUUACUUAAACUAAAGUUAUAGUGCGAAAACCAAGAAAAUGCUUAUUGGGACCCUUUUUGGCCCCUAAUUCCUAAAAUGUUGGGACCAAAACUCCCAAAAUCAAUCCCAACCUUCCUUUUGUGGUCAUAAACCUUGUGUUAAAAUUUCAUAGAUUUCUAUUCACUUUUACUUAAGUUAGAGUGCGAAAACUAAAAGUAUUCGGACGACGACGACGACGUCAACAUCAUACCAAUAUACGACCAAAAAAUUUUCAAUUUUUGCGGUUGUAUAAAAAC
rnacentral:lncRNA from 1 species